AGGACGAACGCUGGCGGCGUGCUUAACACAUGCAAGUCGAACGGAAAGGCCCGCUUGCGGGUACUCGAGUGGCGAACGGGUGAGUAACACGUGGGCAACCUGCCCUCAGCUCUGGGAUAACUCCGGGAAACCGGUGCUAAUACUGGAUAUCGACUUCUGCCUCGCAUGGGGUGUUGUUGUAAAGUUUUUCGGCGUGGGGAUGGGCCCGCGGCCUAUCAGCUUGUUGGUGGGUGAUGGCCUACAAGGCGACGACGGUA
rnacentral:rRNA from 1 species